CAAUUAUUUUUUUUUCAUAAUUCGAACUUUUAAGUUUUCCUGAGUGACUAUUUAGUAAAAAGUCAACAAUUAAAAUGCAACGUUUGAUAAUUAUCGUGUUUAUAGUUUUUUCUGUCAUCGCCCAUACCGGACAUACUGCACGCGAUACAUCUACUAAAAACGGAAAACCUAGUUUAAUUCCGAAAUCAAUAAGUCGCCGUUUAAGUAAUUAUAUCUUAGUUUUAAUUAUUUUAAAAAACAAAAAUGAUGAUUUUUACAUGUACAUAAUAUGUACCUAAUAUACAAUAUAUACUAUUAUAUUAAUAUAAUAUGAUUAAUGUACCCAAUGUAGCAAACCCACUGUGUACUAUUCUAUUUCGUGGAAGUUGCGGAAAUGUUUAACGGAAAUAUGCUAUAUUACAUCAACUGAAUCACCAAUUAGGUUACUGUAAUGUUUCUGAAAUAUCGCUAAUGUUCCUAACUUUUAAUGCGAUGUUUAAGCUAAGCUACUUUAUUAAUCUUCCAACAAUAUUUAAUAUCGAAGUUACAUAAAUAUUUCAAAAUAAUAUCUUCUAACUUUUUCUGACGCAGAUUACAAUGUAUUUAAUUUACAUAUAAGGACAUAUGCAGUUUAUAUUUAAGUACUAUAAUAUGCAAGGCGAUUUAUCCUUGAUAAGGACACUAUUAUUGUAUCGAAAUAUAUAAACUAUUAUCGAAAUACUUUUUUUGGACAGUUUACAAAUAAAGCAGUUCAAAAAUAUUACAUUUCAGUUAUUAUUUGUCACCCGAAAUGCAUCUUAAAUUAUAUAACAUCUUUUUGUGGAAUUUUUAAUAAGUGGGUUAGUAGCUAAAAGUUUUAAAAAACAAGGAUGAUAACAAAAAACGAUAAUGUAAGAUUUUAGAGUUGUUAGAUUUAUAAAUUUCCAAAAAAACAUUACUAGUAAUAAUUAUAACUUUCUGAAAAUAUAAAUACUUUCUGAGAUAAUGAGUGCUUUUUGAGGGUUGAUCAUCUAUAUAAUAAAAUAUAUAUAUAAUUAAUAGCGUUUCGGAGAUUAUACCCAAAAAAAAUACUACAUUUUAUACAAUGUAUUAAUGAAGCAAGCUCUAGACAGUUAUUGAAAAUCCUAUAUUCUGUAGGUAAAAUAUACCCGAAUUCGGUUUUAAUUUUGAAUUUAAUUUUUUUCAUGCAAAAAUUACUAAUAUUAAAUCAAUAUAUAAGUAUAACUUUUUUUAUAUAGUAAUAUGGAUUAUGAUUCUAGAUAGGUUAAAUAGAUUAAAUAGGUUAAAUUAAAUACUUGCUGAAUAUGUAACUAAAGUAUAAUUAAAAUGUAUUAAAUAAAUUUCGGUGAUAUUUAAAAAUAUUAUUUAUUUUUAGGCUUUACAGCGAAUGAAAGUAAAAGAUUUUUAAAUAUUUUAUGUUUAUUUGAUGUUUUAAAAUGUAUUCUAGUUGAUUAAUUGGGAGGGGCUUAAACUAUCAAAAAACUAUUGAUCUAGAAUAUAAUUCUUUGGACCGAAUUGCACGGAAAAUAAAACCGAAAAUCAGUAUUUAUCACGAAAGUAUUAACUCAUUUGAAAUAGAAAAAUCUUGCUGAAUUCCAGAUUUGUUAUUAUAGCUUUAUCAUAUUUUAUUUUGUUCGUUAUAAUUCCAUAAGAUAAAUAUAUGUAACGAGUUGUUCAUUUCGAAGUUUCGUCAAUUGACCUCGUUGGAUGACACGUCAAAUAAUAAACUCUGUAAUAAUAUCCAUAUUAUCCAAUGAUUACAGUGACAAUUGAUUGAUACAUAUUAUGAAUUUAUACUAAAGUCAACAGUUUUAUACAUUUUCGUUUGAAGAAAAAGCAUGUAAGAUUAUAUUGGCAACAAAAUUUAUAGUUUGUAAAAAUCAUGCUCUGAUUUUUUAAUGCCAUGACUUAUAAGAUGUGGCUUUUACGUGUUGUGCCUUGGCACAUAAUUAUUCAAAAUUCCUAAUAACUUUUAUUAAUUUAACUACUUGAAUACCUACAUAGUUUUAAUGUACGCUAAAUGGUUCAUUAAUAAUACGGUUAUUAGAAAUGCAAAAUAUCAAUUUCUAUUUAUAUAAAAUAUUAAUUGUGUUACAAUUUAUAACUAAAUGUGUUAAUGAAUUAAUAUUAUACAAUUUUCUGUUAUAAUAUAAACUAUUAAUUAUUUUUUUUGACCUUAGCACCAAAAGGUAAUUUUAAUCUAACCUAAUCAAUUCCUAAUAGAUACAAUAAAGUACAUCAAUAUUAUAAAACAAAUUAUAAAAUAUUAAUUAUAAUUAUUCAUAAUAUUCAUGCUCAAUUUAAAGAAAAAAUGAUAUAAUUAAUAUAAACGUGUAUAUAAUUGUGCGAGUUAAUGAGAUUUUAUUUAAUUGAUAAUAAUAUUAUUCCGCCAGGAUAUCGGGAGAUAUUUUAACCAAUUUAUUUUUUAACAAAAAAAUUAAUUAAUUUUAAAAAAGCUGAUGUUGAGGAUUUGUGCGUGUUUGUAAGAAAAAAUAAACCUUUGUUAACGAAAGAUAAUACUGAGUAAAGUUCGAAAAUAUAAAUGUUUUGAAAUACUGUAAUUUUCAUCAAAUAUAGAUCCAAGAACGAUUAUAAAAAAAAAAAAAACAAAACAUUAUUGGUCGAUUUUUCUUAUUAUAAACUCAGGUUAAUCAGAGAGAGCUUAUAGAACUGUCUAACUUCAUCUUGUCAACUGACUCCCAUAUGUCUGUAAGUAUAGGAGUAUGUGAGCCCCUAAAUAAAUUGAACUGGUUGGACGAGAGUAAACGUGUGAUCACGUAAGACAAAAGUCAUAUUUAUAUCAAUAACAUCUAUACUGGUGUCUCAGGCUAUUUGAUCGAACCAUAUUCGUUUGUGUCGUCAUUAUAAUAUGUGUCAUUAUGAGGUGUGUAACGAUUUGGGCACGUAAUUUGUAUAAGAAUUUAAAACUAAUAGCUAUGCUACCCUACGAGUAAUUUAAAAAAAAAUAUAAUUUUUUUUAUAUUUGCAUACUUAUAUAAUUAUACCAUCGUGAAUUUAGGUAAUAUUUAAUUUAAAUUUAUCAAAAGAUUAUGCAACCAAUUAUUUAAUUUUAUUAUAUAUUUAUAUAUUUAUAUAUAUUUAUUUGAUAUUAUUCUAUCUAAUUCUGAUAAACAUUUAUUGACUAGAGCUGCUUAUCGAUCUAUCGACGGCUCUCUCAAUUCCCAAAACUACAAAUUAAAUAAAUACAUAUUUCAAUAUUCUUGCUACUCCAUAAUUGUACUUAUGUUUCAGUUCUAUUCCCAAGUUUCGUAAAUUAUUAAACAAUCAUAACUUGUGUCUUAUAGAAUUCAUCUUUUACAAUCAGUUACUUUGCAUACGUAUACGACAAAUAAUUCACUUUUUUUCAACAUAAAAAUAGUGUUUUUUAAUGUCAAUGUCAUAAUUCAUAAAACAUAGUAUUUAUGUAUAAUAAAAUAUCAAUAUUUAUUUAUGCACGCGUCUUUGAUGUAUUUAGUUAUUACAUUUUUUAAUCGUAUGACGAUUAUGAUUAUCUUAAUUAUUUUAUUGUUAUCCUAACAGAGGCGUUUGCGAGAAUUGGGAUUCAAGGUCAGUAUUUAAUUUGAAAUGUUCACGAAAAUAUUAUAAGCAAUAAAUAUAUACCAGCAUAAGAUCACGGUUCAUAUGCUUUGCGGUGUUUACACUUAGAAUAGCAAUGAUACACAACCCUACUCUUUGAUUAAGAAUACUUAACUAUAUCGUCUAAAUUCCAUUGAAGUGACUUUAAUUAUAUAUGUUAAGGUCAAUGUCGGUAAAUCAAGCAACAUUGGUAAUUUAGGAUCAUCGGACUUUUUACAAUCAAAGAAUGGGUUUUUUUUUAAUGCAAAACCGCGCCGGUGAACAUUUAUUUCGUUUGCAAUUAGUCUGUAAAUUGUCGAUAUUGACUUUAAUAUUUAUUAUAUAAAAACAAUCUUUAAUGUUUUUGAUAACAUUCUACCAACAGACGUUGGCGGUGAGAUUUGAAAGUAGAAACCUUCUUAAGACAUUAAAGAAAAUUUUAGCUAAUUUUCCAUUUAUGAAAAUUGCAAAAACAGAUUUUAUGCUAUUUACAUUAGUUGUGCUUAGCUGUUUUUUCUGAAACAAAAUCUUCAUCUUGCUCAGCUUCAAAGGUUUUAUUAUUAAGAUGCAGUUCAUUGGGUGAGAAUGUUGAAGUUUUAAAUAAAUGAUAAAUUUAACAAAAAUUAUCAUAUUAUUUGCAUAAUAAAUCUUGUUGAACAAAUUUACCAUACACAGCACAAAAUUCUUGAAAUGCAUUUUUUGGAAGCACUGAUAGGUUAAUUUUUAGUUGAAAUAUUUUUUUUUUGAAAAAUGUCCCAAAUCUUUAUCAGUAGCCUGAUCAUUGAAAUAAUUAUUAAUACAAGUAAUUGUUAUAUCUUAACAUUUAGAGUAUGAGUCACAUUUAAAUUUAUUAACUGAAUUUGUAAUUGGUUCAUCAUUAUAUAAUUCUUCAGAAAUUUCUUUUUUUUUUCGAAUACGAUUGAUUUUAAGUUCAGAAAAAUAAGCUGAUUAUUUCCUAUGAUAAAAUGAUGAACCUCGUGAAUUAAUUUAUCAUAUGUUUUAUAAUUUUGUCUUACUUACGUUAAUUUUUUUUGUGUUUCUUCAAUUCCUUUCACAGUAGCUAAAAGAUCUAAAUCUCCACUCAGAAUUUAAAAUGAAAAUUGUUAAAAAAAAUGAGAAUAUAUAUUAGCUAAUCCAGAUCACUAUCAACUAUAACACAAUAUAAUUUACUUUUUAAAUAUUUAUUGUCAAUAAUUGACUAAUAAUUAUUAUUAUUGUAAUUUAUAAUAUAAGUUACGUUAAAAAAUAAAAUAUUUUUAAAUUCACUAACAAGUAGCAAUAAGUCAAUUAACGUUGAAACGUAAAAUUAAAAAUACAACUAUUUCUCGGCAGUGGGUACUUACUUUCUUCAGAGAAAUCUUUUGUAGAAGUUAUAGAUAGAAGAUCUACAGUUAAACUUAAAAUACUGUUAGUCUUGCGAUAUGUAUUAAUUUUUAAAUUUGAACUUGACAAUUUUCUUUUUUGAAAUGUACUUAAAUGCAAAUGUUUGUUGUAUUUAGUCAAAUGUGUCAUGUCAAGCACAAUAACCCAUUGAUCAUUGUACUACUAACUUAAUAGAAUACCUACCUAAGGUUGGGCUAUAUAUAUUAAAUCUGAAAAAAAUAUGGAAUAAUAGAUUAUUGUAUUCUCUAUAUUUUAAUGGAUGUAAUUCUAUUUUCAAAAUAUUUUAGUGUGAUAUCUCUGUUACCGUAAUAAAUUAAUAAUUCCCUCCCCCCCCCACAUACACACACAAAUAAAUAUUUGCGCCAAUUGUCUAUACUUAAAUAGGUGAUACUUUUAAAAUACAAAAUAUAACGGUUAAUAAAUAGUCUUAAAGUUAAUAUGGGUACUUAGGUACAUAUAACGCAUUGUUCGUAUUCUUAUUAAUAGCCUUAUUAGUAAGCUGUGCUAGUAUUCUAAUUAAUAUCCUUAUUAGUAAGCUGUGGUAUUAUUCUCAUUAAUAUAAAUUCUCAUGAGUAGCUGUGGUGUUUUCGUUUUAGUUAAUAGUACCUAUAUUAAAAAAUGUAAUUUUAUAAAAAGAAUAAAAGAAAAUAAUGCAGAAAGGUAAUUAGAUCUUUUUUUUUUUUAUGAAUUUUGCAAUAUUUUUAAUAUACGUAGUUUAUAUUCUAUAAUCAUUCUUAAAAUUAUUUUUUAGGUACAUCCGACGCUGCAAUAAAAGCAGGACUUGAAAAGCGUAUGUACUAAAAAAAAAAUUAAAUAUAAUUUUAAUGAUUAUUGCCAUUCCAACGAAACCUUGAAAGUUAAUAAAUAUACAAUUAUCAUUAUUUUAAUUAGUUAUUUAUUUAUAUUUAAUAGUUAAUAUAUAUAUAAAGAAUGAACGUAAGUAUUU